GGGGUGAGUAACACGUGGAUAACCUACCUAUAAGACUGGGAUAACUUCGGGAAACCGGAGCUAAUACCGGAUAAUAUAUUGAACCGCAUGGUUCAAUAGUGAAAGACGGUUUUGCUGUCACUUAUAGAUGGAUCCGCGCCGCAUUAGCUAGUUGGUAAGGUAACGGCUUACCAAGGCAACGAUGCGUAGCCGACCUGAGAGGGUGAUCGGCCACACUGGAACUGAGACACGGUCCAG
rnacentral:rRNA from 1 species